rnacentral:rRNA from 1 species
AGGGCACCACCAGGAGUGGAGCCUGCGGCCUAAUUUGACUCAACACGGGAAAACUCACCCGGCCCGGACACCGUAAGGAUUGACAGAUUGAGAGCUCUUUCUUGAUUCGGUGGUUGGUGGUGCAUGGCCGUUCUUAGUUGGUGGAGCGAUUUGUCUGGUUAAUUCCGAUAACGAACGAGACUCUAGCCUGCUAAAUAGGCAGUGGAUUCUUAGUCCACUGUACUUCUUAGAGGGACAAGCAGCGUCUAGCUGCACGAGAUUGAGCAAUAACAGGUCUGUGAUGCCCUUAGAUGUUCGGGGCUGCACGCGCGCUACACUGAAGGAAUCAACAUGCUUCUCAACCCUGCCCGGAAGGGCUAGGUAACCCGUUGAAACUCCUUCGUGAUUGGGAUAGGGAAUUGCAAUUAUUUCCCUUGAACGAGGAAUUCCCAGUAAGUGCGGGUCAUCAGCUCGCGCUGAUUACGUCCCUGCCCUUUGUACACACCGCCCGUCGCUACUACCGAUUGGAAGUAGACGAGA